GACUCGUCACACUAUCAUUAACUGAAUCCAUAGGUUAAUGAGGCGAACCGGGGGAACUGAAACAUCUAAGUACCCCGAGGAAAAGAAAUCAACCGAGAUUCCCCCAGUAGCGGCGAGCGAACGGGGAGGAGCCCAGAGCCUGAAUCAGCAUGUGUGUUAGUGGAAGCGUCUGGAAAGGCGCGCGAUACAGGGUGACAGCCCCGUACACAAAAGCGCAUGUGCUGUGAGCUCGAUGAGUAGGGCGGGACACGUGGUAUCCUGUCUGAAUAUGGGGGGACCAUCCUCCAAGGCUAAAUACUCCUGACUGACCGAUAGUGAACCAGUACCGUGAGGGAAAGGCGAAAAGAACCCCGGCGAGGGGAGUGAAAAAGAACCUGAAACCGUGUACGUACAAGCAGUGGGAGCACCCUUUGGGGUGUGAC
rnacentral:rRNA from 2 species